rnacentral:rRNA from 1 species
UACGGAGGGUGCAAGCGUUAUCCGGAUUCACUGGGUUUAAAGGGUGCGUAGGUGGGGUGGUAAGUCAGUGGUGAAAUCUCCGAGCUUAACUUGGAAACUGCCAUUGAUACUAUCAUUCUUGAAUAUUGUGGAGGUCAGCGGAAUAUGUCAUGUAGCGGUGAAAUGCUUAGAUAUGACAUAGAACACCAAUUGCGAAGGCAGCUGGCUACACAUAUAUUGACACUGAGGCACGAAAGCGUGGGGGAUCAAACAGG